GACGAACGCUGGCGGCGUGCCUAAUACAUGCCAGUUGAGCGCUGAAGGUUGGUACUUGUACCAACUGGAUGAGCAGCGAACGGGUGAGUAACGCGUGGGGAAUCUGCCUUUGAGCGGGGGACAACAUUUGGAAACGAAUGCUAAUACCGCAUAAAAACUUUAAACACAAGUUUUAAGUUUGAAAGAUGCAAUUGCAUCACUCAAAGAUGAUCCCGCGUUGUAUUAGCUAGUUGGUGAGGUAAAGGCUCACCAAGGCGAUGAUACAUAGCCGAGCUGAGAGGGUGAUCGGCCACAUUUGGACUGAGACACGGCCCAAACUCCUACGGGAGGCAGCAGUAGGGAAUCUUCGGCAAUGGACGAAAGUCUGACCGAGCAACGCCGCGUGAGUGAAGAAGGGUUUCGGAUCGUAAAACUCUGUUGGUAGAGAAGAACGUUGGUGAGAGUGGAAAGCUCAUCAAGUGACGGUAACUACCCAGAAAGCGACGGCUAACUACGUG
rnacentral:rRNA from 1 species